rnacentral:rRNA from 1 species
AGUGAACGCUGGCGGUAGGCCUAACACAUGCAAGUCGAACGGCAGCACAGUAAGAGCUUGCUCUUACGGGUGGCGAGUGGCGGACGGGUGAGGAAUACAUCGGAAUCUACUUUUUCUGGGGGGAUAACGUAGGGAAACUUACGCUAAUACCGCAUACGACCUACGGGUGAAAGCAGUGGAUCUUCGGACCUUGCGCGAUUGAAUGAGCCGAUGUCGGAUUAGCUAGUUGGCGGGGUAAAGGCCCACCAAGGCGACGAUCCGUAGCUGGUCUGAGAGGAUGAUCAGCCACACUGGAACUGAGACACGGUCCAGACUCCUACGGGAGGCAGCAGUGGGGAAUAUUGGACAAUGGGCGCAAGCCUGAUCCAGCCAUACCGCGUGGGUGAAGAAGGCCUUCGGGUUGUAAAGCCCUUUUGUUGGGAAAGAAAAGCAGCAGGUUAAUACCCCGCUGUUCUGACGGUACCCAAAGAAUAAGCACCGGCUAACUUCGUG